UACGGAGGGGGCAAGCGUUGUUCGGAAUUACUGGGCGUAAAGGGCGCGUAGGCGGCUUAUCAAGUCAGGCGUGAAAUUCCCGGGCUCAACCUGGGGGCUGCGCUUGAUACUGAUGAGCUUGAAUGCGGGAGAGGAUAGUGGAAUUCCCAGUGUAGAGGUGAAAUGCGCAGAUAUCGGGAGGAACACCAGUGGCGAAGGCGGCACUCUGGGCCAGUACUGACACUGAGGAGCGAAAGCGUGGGGAGCGAACAGG
rnacentral:rRNA from 1 species